rnacentral:rRNA from 4 species
UCUGGUGAUGAUGGCGAAGAGGUCACACCCGUUCCCAUGCCGAACACGGAAGUUAAGCUCUUCAGCGCCGAUGGUAGUUGGGGGUUUCCCCCUGCAAGAGUAGGACGUCGCCAGGC